UCACAGGUCGGCCCUGUUGGAUGUGGGAAAAGCCUACAUAAAGACAGGGGGCGAGGAACACUGGGGACUAUUUGGGAGGCUGGCCUUCACAUUUCUUCGGAUUCCCCAUCUAUGGAGCAGGCACAGGAACCGCAUCCUACACCAGUGGAUAAGAACCGUGAAGCCAGUCGACAGACGAAAAGGCCCAAGGAGGUCAGUCCUGCUCACUUGUCACGACGGGCUCCUCUGGCCAUCUUGUCCUUUGCCCUGGAACAAGACCUGUGCUGGUUUCUUCAAGACGUUCAGUGAAUCCUCUAAACAAAGGAUCCCUUUCUUUGGUUGGAGAGCCAGUUGCUCUGGGCCUCAGUGAGGGCAGCCAGCCCCCAGCCCUCCCAGUAGGAAUCCCCCUGGAAGACAAGGCCUUGCUUUGACCUUUCACCUUUUGGCCUCCCGGCGAAGGACCAUUAACCAAACUGCUGUCCUCAGUUCUUUGUGGAGGAGAGUCUUUUGUCCAGCUGUCCUCUAAAAAGAAAACAUGUGGAGUGAUGGCUCCUAUCCCCAGGCCACAUCUGAUCACGGUGCCGCCAUCUUUGUUUUCCCAGGCCUUUCUAGUUUAUAAAAUUCUUUCAUGUGUGCAGUCUCA